GACGAAGGAUGCAAGCGUUAUCCGGAUUCAUUGGGUUUAAAGGGAGCGUAGGCGGCCUUAUAAGUCAGUGGUGAAAUCUCCUCGCUUAACGAGGAAGUUGCCAUUGAUACUGUAGGGCUUGAGUACAGUUGCCGUUGGCGGAAUAUGACAUGUAGUGGUGAAAUACAUAGAGAUGUCAUAGAACACCGAUUGCGAAGGCAGCUAACGAAACUGUAACUGACGCUGAGGCUCGAAAGUGCGGGGAUCAAACAGG
rnacentral:rRNA from 1 species